rnacentral:lncRNA from 1 species
AAUCUAUUUUUGGUAAUGUGAAAACCAACGGUAGGAUGUAAUAGUCUAUUAUGCACUGACAAUAACUUUUUGUAUGAUUGGCAGUUUAAUGAAUACAAGAGGAACUGAGUUGACAAAUUCAUCCAAGAUAGAUGCUAAAAUUAUUUAUGCAUGCCAGUUGCCUUAACUAAUUUUUCUUAACACUUGUAUUGAACAGGAAAAUGAAUAAGCAAUCUGUAUAUUGUGCCAUUGUGGAGUAUUUGGAUAUUCUGAUUUAAAUAACAAGGAGAAUACUUGCCUCAUCUUUAAAUGAGGAGUGGGGGAUUGGAAGUGUCUUCAUGUAAAUGUUCAUUUAUUUGUAUUUUGAACUAUUAGGAGAAUCUAAUAUGCCAAAUCAGUAAUACAAAUGUUCAGAUGAUUUUUCCUGUUGAUCAUGCAUUUGUGUCUGCACACAACCAUUGUAUAUCACUUUAUUCUGAUGUGCAGGUGUGUGUAGCUUAGAAGAAACGGAAUAAUAAUCAUCUAUUAUUGCUUGGUUCAUGAUUAUUAAAUGAUUAUGGCUUUAAAAAGUCUACUAAUUCCUUACUGUUCAUAUAUGAAUGUGUCAAGUUUGCUAUAUCUUAGAUUAUCUUCUUCCAAGAUAACAAGUUCAUAUUCUUUUUAAUCUUUUCCAUCACAGUUGACUUUUAGGUGUUAAGAUUUGUUAUUAAUAUCUGGUCCCCUGUUAUUAUGAUUUCAUAAACAGUGUACGGAUAUGUGCUCUAACUUUGGAGGACCUCCACGUGAAAGAAAAUUGCAACAAUUGAAUUCUUCCUGAGGGUAUGGUCUUUAAUUUAUUUUCUCAACUUCUUGUAAGAUUAAUAUAUUUCUUUCAGUAGGCACAGCACGGGGGGAAGGGUUUUUAUUGAAAGAAUUAUGAUAUUUCUUAGACUUUGUUUUGG